GUCCAGCCCCGCGGUAAUACAUAGGGGUCAAGCGUUGUCCGGAUUUAUUGGGCGUAAAGAGCUCGUAGGCGGUUCUGUAAGUCGGAUGUGAAAACUCAGGGCUCAACCCUGAGACGCCAUCUGAUACUGCAGUGACUAGAGUCCGGUAGAGGAAGAUGGAAUUCCUGGUGUAGCGGUGGAAUGCGCAGAUAUCAGGAGGAACACCAAUGGCGAAGGCAGUCUUCUGGGCCGGCACUGACGCUGAGGAGCGAAAGCAUGGGGAGCAAACAGGAUUAGAUA
rnacentral:rRNA from 1 species